rnacentral:lncRNA from 1 species
AUUUAUUUUCUGUUAUUUCCUUUUAUUUUCAAAACUUCAUGAAAAAUUCAUUUGAACUCAGAAAAAUAUGAGACCAAUUCCAAAAAAUUUCUUGAAAAAUCUAGUUUCAUAUUACGAUUUUUAAUUAUUUUUGUUACUUCAUUUGAUAUUUUUCAUGGAUUAUUUGAUUUUUAAUGGUUUUAAUUCAUUGUAAAAUACUUUCUGACUUUUGAAAAAUCCAAAAAUAUUUUCGUAGCAUCUAUGGAUCAU